rnacentral:rRNA from 1 species
AGAGUUUGAUCUUGGCUCAGGAUGAACGCUAGCGGCAGGUUUACACAUGCAAGUCGAGGGGCAGCAUGUCCAGCAAUGGAUGAUGCGACCCCGCGGAAAGGGUGCGUAACGCGUGAGCAACAUGCCCUAUACAGGGAGAUACACCAGGGAACUUGGUCUAAUAUCCCAUAGCAUUCAUUGAAGGCAUCUUUAAUGAAUUAAAGCUUCGGUGGUAUAGGAUUGGCUCGCGUGACAUUAGCCAGAUGGUGAGGUAACGGCUCACCAUAGCAAUGAUGUCUAGGGGUUUUGAGAGGAAGGCCCCCCACACUGGUACUGAGACACGGGCCAGACUCCUACGGGAGGCAGCAGUGAGGAAUAUUGGUCAAUGGACGGAAGUCUGAACCAGCCACGUCGCGCGCAGGAAGACGGUCUUAUGGAUUGUAAACUGCUUUUACACGGGAGCAAUAAGGGUUACGAGUAAUCCGAUGAGAGUACUGUAUGAAUAAGGAUCGGCUAACUCCGUGCCAGCAGCCGCGGUAAUACGGAGGAUCCGAGCGUUAUCCGGAAUUAUUGGGUUUAAAGGGUGCGUAGGCGGCCAUUUAAGUCAGCGGUGAAAUUUUGCAGCUUAACUGUAACAGUGCCGUUGAUACUGUUUGGCUAGGAUUUGGUUGUAGUGUGCGGAAUGUGUGGUGUAGCGGUGAAAUGCUUAGAUAUCACACAGAACACCGAUUGCGAAGGCAGCACACUAAGUCAUUAUUGACGCUGAGGCACGAAAGUGUGGGGAUCAAACAGGAUUAGAUACCCUGGUAGUCCACACUGUAAACGAUGAUAACUCGCUGUCGGCGAUACACAGUCGGUGGCCAAGCGAAAGC